UGUGUGUGUGACCUGGGCCGCAGCGGCCGUGGGCCGUGGAGUCCUGCGCGCGCUGCGUGGUGGCCUGGCUUCCUGCGGGUGGACAAGGUACUCGAAUCCGAGGAGGAGGGCAUCACGGGAGUCUCUGAUGUGUAGCCAAGUCAGACAGAAGCGUGCCCUGUCUUGUAAGGGUGUGAUGCUUGGAGCUGCGGCAGCCGUUUUAUGCCCACGAGGAGCACCAUCUCCAAUACCGGGGUGACCACAAGUCUGGAUAUGACUCCCGGGAUGCAGGAUUUCCAGCACUAAAAUUGGAAAAGUCCUGGGCAACAGGAUAAUUAGUCGCCCUAACCUGGUGACAUGAAAGGGCAGAAGGAACUGGCCCUUUGCCAACAUCCUUGAAGGGCCAACCAGCUCUGGAAACCCCUAACCUCUGGAUUUUUCUGUUAUAUAUAAACAAUGAAUAUCUUCAUGGUUUAAGUCUCUGUGUCGUUACUUGUUUGUCGUCUUGCCUGCCCUCUCCGCCUUCUCCCCAGACCCAAACCCUGAGCCCCUGGGGGCAGACAGACAGCAGACUUUUCCAGUCUUCCCCUCCCCCCCAUCCAGUCUCGGUUGAACAGUCCAUGCUGAGUGUCUUCGUGUCCAGGAAAUGAGAUCAGGCCCAACCUGACUGCUUUCAUUCCUGGGUCAGGGGCUCACUACCCUCUCACCCAGUUCCCAAGGCCCCGGGGCCACCCUGCAGCUUGAGAUCCUGCCAGCCCUCUCCUGGCCCGUUGCUGACUCAGUGUCUUAUCACCUGUCCUGUCCCCGGCCCUCCUCCUGGGAGAGGCCCCACAGGUGGGUGCUGUUUCUCAUCUGGCCUUUUUCUCCCCU